UACGUAGGGUGCAAGCGUUGUCCGGAAUUAUUGGGCGUAAGGAGCUCGUAGGCGGUGUGUCGCGUCGGCCGUGAAAACCUGCAGCUCAACUGUGGGCUUGCGGUCGAUACGGGCAUCACUGGAGUUCGGCAGGGGAGACUGGAAUUCCUGGUGUAGCGGUGAAAUGCGCAGAUAUCAGGAGGAACACCGGUGGCGAAGGCGGGUCUCUGGGCAGUAACUGACGCUGAGGAGCGAAAGCGUGGAGAGCGAACAGG
rnacentral:rRNA from 1 species